GAUGAAGAACGUAGUGAAAUGCGAUACGUAAUGUGAAUUGCAGAAUUCAGUGAAUCAUCGAAUCUUUGAACGCAUAUUGCGCUCUCUGGUAUUCCGGAGAGCAUGCUUGUUUGAGUAUCAGUAAACACCUCAACUUCCAUAUCUUUUUUGAAAUUGGAGUUGGACUUGAGUGAUCCCAACGCUUUUCCUCACCGAAAAGUGGCGGGUUACUUGAAAUGCAGGUGCAGCUGGACUUUUCUCUGAGCUAUAAGCAUAUCUAUUUAGUCUGCCUAAAAAACAGAUUAUUACCUUUGCUGCAGCUAACAUAAAGGAGAUUAGUUCUUGUGCUGACUGAUGCAGGAUUCACAAAGACAGGCUUCGGCCGACUUUGUAAACUCGAUCUCAAAUCAAGUAAGACUACCCGCUGAACUUAAGAAUAUCAAUAAGCGGAGGA
rnacentral:misc_RNA from 1 species